AUUAAUGGAGUUUUGUUAACUCUGCUGCUGCUCAUCAGGCCGAUCCCGAAUCACUUCAGGAAGUAGUGCAGCUUUCUCUUUAAUGUCGAACGACCGGGCAUCUUCGGCGCUCCUUCUUCUCGCGGUAAGAAGGGAGACAUGGAACUAUCCGGCACCCCAUUCAAGGCUAAAAGGAUUCGGCAAUAAACAACGGUGAGUCUCAAAAUUAGGCGUGGGUCGCAAUCUACAUCGAAACCCCCGCGGUGGUAAACUCAUCGGUCUCACCCUCGCCGAAAGUUAC